rnacentral:rRNA from 1 species
AACGAACGCUGGCGGCAUGCCUAACACAUGCAAGUCGAACGAGAUCUUCGGGUCUAGUGGCGCACGGGUGCGUAACGCGUGGGAAUCUGCCCUUUGGUUCGGAAUAACAGUUGGAAACGACUGCUAAUACCGGAUGAUGACGAAAGUCCAAAGAUUUAUCGCCAGAGGAUGAGCCCGCGUAGGAUUAGCUAGUUGGUGUGGUAAAGGCGCACCAAGGCGACGAUCCUUAGCUGGUCUGAGAGGAUGAUCAGCCACACUGGGACUGAGGACACAGCCCAGACUCCUACGGGAGGCAGCAGUGGGGAAUAUUGGACAAUGGGCGAAAGCCUGAUCCAGCAAUGCCGCGUGAGUGAUGAAGGCCUUAGGGUUGUAAAGCUCUUUUACCCGGGAUGAUAAUGACAGUACCGGGAGAAUAAGCUCCGGCUAACUCCGUGCCAGCCGCCGCAGUAA